UGGGGAAUAUUGGACAAUGGGCGAAAGCCUGAUCCAGCCAUGCCGCGUGUGUGAAGAAGGUAUUCGGAUUGUACAGAUUCUUAAGUUGGGAGGAAGGGCAGUAAGCGAAUACCUUGCUGUUUUGACGUUACCGACAGAAUAAGCACCGGCUAACUCUGUGCCAGCAGCCGCGGUAUUACAGAGGGUGCAAGCGUUGAUCGGAAUUACUGGGCGUAAAGCGCGCGUAGGUGGUUCGUUAAGUUGAAUGUGAAAUCCCCGGGCUCAACCUGGGAACUGCAUCCAAAACUGGCGAGCUAGAGUAGGGCAGAGGGUGGUAGAAUUUCCUGUGUAGCGGUGAAGUGAGUAGAUAUAAGAAGGAACAACAGUAGCGAAGGCGACCACCUGGGCUCAUGCUGACAAUGAGGUGCGGAAGCGUGGGGAGCAAACAGG
rnacentral:rRNA from 1 species